CUGCAAUAUUUUUUUAUUAAAUUUCACAGUAAAUUUUUUGCAGCUGAUGUCCCACUGUACGCAGACACCACAUUCUGGUUAGCCUCAUACUAUGGAGAUGGUUGACGAGAUGUACGGCAAUAGUUUCAGGUGGUGAGCCGAGAUGUGCUGGCAAGGCCAAAGAGUCGGUUCGCUUAGAUCAGGCUGCUGGAGGCUCUUGCACUCGCAUGUCUGCUGGAGAUACGCAGUAGGAAAGCAUUGACCUAUUACGCUUGAUCUGAAGUCAUCGGCUUUUGACCCAAAGGAGAAAGUAUGGACAAGGUUCCCACUGGAAGGCUCAGAAUACACCCCUCCACAGAGUUCUUGUGAUUUCAGAUGGAAAGAUUACUGCCUCCAAGUAUUCUGGUUGUUCAAGGUUGAUGCAACAGAUUGUAUGCUAUCCCUUUGUGGGGACCAGGCUCUCCGAGGGCUCUCAUCCCCUGGUAAGAGUGGAAGCUUCUUUUAUCUCAUGAGCAAUUAUCAUUACAUGAGAAA